GAUGCAUAACUCUCAUCCCUGCUCUUGGGAGGCUGGGGCAGGAUGACUCCAGGUUUGAGCCUAGCCCUGACUAUGUAGGCCCUACUUCAAAGUAAUGUUUUAAAGGGGCAGGGUGCAGCUCAGCAGGGAGUCCCUGCCAGGCACACAGGAAACCCAGGUUCCAUCUCCCGAUGCUCACACAAACCCCACACCCACAGUCACUGGACUGGGCCACCUCAGCCUGGCUGGGUCCCUUUGAGACCACUUUCUGAUGGAGUCCUGUCAGGACCUUGAUCCAAGCUCAGACCCAAGGACACGGUAGGGGGCCUGGACCCUGACCCUUGCACACCUCACUGUCCUGGUAGGUGGCCCCUCACACCCAUCCCCUGGUCCUAGAUUCCUGGCUCUUAGCAGGGGAGUCUCAUGGGGCUGUGGGCUCAGCUCACCCUAGAGUUUGGUGGCCGUGGCUGAGUAGGUUGGGUCCCCAAGCUCCAGGCUGAGGAGCCCGAGGUGGAAUUGAAACCACCAGGUGCAGCGGCCAUAUGGCAGCAAUGGCAGAACCACAGAAGGGACAGAACCACAGAAGGGACGUUCCCUCCACAAGGGUCCCUGGGGUGCGAGGGGAACUGGGACAGCCUGGGCCAGGCAGGUGGCUGUGAGCCAGGAGCUGCUGAUGGGGGCUAGAAAGUAAAGGGUAGGUGGCAUGGGCAAGGGUCCCCUGGGAAGGCCCAGAGAGAGACUGCCAUGGGCUAGUGACACAGUGCCUGUAAUCUUAGAGAGCUGGGUGUUGUGAUCACGUCUGUAAUCCCAGCACUCUAGGCUGAGGUAAGAGUGUCACCCCAAGUCCAAAGCCACAUGAGCUGCAUAGCAAGAGCUUGUCUCAAAAAAGCAAAACCAAAAAUCCUUUGGGAACCCCAGCUUCUACUGGGGUUCCUGUCUCAGUGUUGCUGUCUCAGUGUUGUGUUGGGGAGAGGAUCUGCUCACAAUCCACAAUGGCUGCUUGUGUUCCAUCCAUCGUGCCUACAUUCCAGUCACUGGAAAAGGCUGAGGAAAAGAUUUCCUUGAGGGAAACAUCCUAGGACUCAUCCUAGACCUUUCCCCCUCACACCUUCCUGUCCACACAGUGUUGCCAGACCCUAGGAGCGGCAAGGGACAUAGUGAGAUAAUCAAGGAAGGUGGCCAGAUCCCUCCCAUCUACUAGGCCAGCGCCAAACCUGUCUCACUGCCUGGCACCCUUGCUGGGAAGCCUGUGUAACCCCAGGGCAAUGUUUCCCCUUUCAUUCAUUCAUUGGACAUCCAAGGCAGAGAGAAAAGUCCAGCUGCUCAGGGGCGAAGGAUGCUGGGGGCGCUCCCCGAGGCUGGAGUUUCCAGGUGGGGUGCAAAGGUCCCAAGCUGAGGGUUGGGGGUCCUGGAGAAGGAGGUCAGCCUGGGACAACAGAGGUCUGUUUCAGAAGACCCCGACUCAGCCUGGAAGGGGUGGGGGAUCCUGGGCCUUAGGCCCUGAGCUAUAUGCCUAGGUCUAUUUUUUAUUUCAAUUCAGGGUGUUUAGGCUGGGCUUGAACUUUCGAUCCUUCUGCCUCAGCCUCCUGGAGCCUUACAUCUGAGCCAGAGUGAUGGCACCUGCCUGUGAUUCUAUGCGGAACCAAAGGAGGAGGCUGUCAGGUUGCAUCCCAGCCUGGGCAACUUGGCAGCUUAGCAAGACCGUCUCAAAACUUGGAAAAUAGAAAGGCGUUUGAGGAGCAGCUCAGUGCAAAGGGCUCCAUUCAGCCUCCAGGAUGGCAUGGAAAAAAAGGGGGGAGGGAUUUGUGGGGGCGUGGAGCGCAGCCACAGUCACUUCAUAGCGCAGCAGGUGUUGGCUGCUAGUAGGGGGAGCCUAGGGCGGCAGAGGGCGAAUCCGGGGGCUCCCUCCCCCUCGAAGGCUGGUCCCUGCACCUGGCGGAGCCCUUCUCUCUCCCACUAGCCCCACCCAUUACCCAGGCACCCGGGUGCCCAGCAGAGCUGGAACCGGAGCUUGUGGGUGCAGCAGGAUGGGGGCGCAGGCUUCGAGCCCCCUGGACAAGAGGCAGCGUGAGCAGUUGCGGGGCCAGGUGGCCUCGCUGCUGAGCAGCUUCCUGCCGUGCUACCGCGCGCAGCUGGCAACAUCCGUGCUGUGGCAGAUCUCGCUCGAGCUGCGACCCCAGGAGCCCUCGGAACCCCAUCUGAGCCGCAGCAAGAAGCUGCCCCGGGUGUGCGAGCACCGCGGCCCCCUCCUCCAGCUUCGGGGUCGCCCCCCACGCUGGCAGCUGGCCUUCUGUGUGCUUCGCGGGGAUGGCCGCCUGGAGUGGUUUGGCAGCCAGAAGAACUUCGAGGCUGGGCAGCGUCCCCUGGGCACAGUGGCCCUCACGGGCUACGCGCUCCUGACCUCACAGCGAGAGUACCUGCGCUUCCUGGACGUGUUCCGCCCAGACCCCACGGGCCCCGAGCAACUACUGGAGACGCCAGUGUGCGCCCCGCUCCUGCUGCAGCACCCCUUCCGCCGGCUCCUCUGCUUCUCCGCGCCGUCCGCCGAAGCGCAGCGCGCCUGGAGCCUCGCUCUUCAGGGUGGCAUCCGUCUGCGAGGCACAGUCUUGCAGCGCAGCCGGGACCCGGCGGCCCGCGCCUUCCUGGACGCCGUGCGGCUGUACCGGCGGCGCCGGGGUCACUUCGGCGAGGACGACGCGACGCUGGGCUCUGACGCCGAGGUGCUGAGCGCGGUGCUGCUGCAGGAGCUGCUGCCUGCGUGGACGAGGCCCGGGGACGCCGCGGCGGCGCGCGGUCCCGAGACGCAGACCGAGCUCCUGGACGCCGUCUACUGCGUGGUCCUAGCUGCGGUCUCCGCGGGGCUCCGCACCUUCCAGCCAGAAAAAGAUGAGCUGCUUGCGGCGCUGGAGCGGGCGCUACGCCCAGACCUGGAGCACACGCUGCGGCUGCGCAUGCGCGCAGCGGGCCGGCAGCAGGCGGACGUCCAGGCUCGGCUGGAGAUCUGCCUGCAGCGUAGCGUGGACCCUCAGUUGCCCCACCUCGUGCGGACUCUGCUGAGCACUGUGGAGGCCACGCUGGGCGCUGUGCAAAUGCUACUGGUGCAGGGUGUGGACCAAGUGUGCAAUUGCCUGCGUGGGAGCCCGAGGGGGGCAAAGCUGCGAGGGGCGGUGCACUCGCUGGGGGAGCUGCCCUGGGACGCCGAGCUCAUGCAAGUCUGCUACCGCGAGGCUGAGCGCGGCCGGGGACGCCUGAGGCAGCUAGCUGCUCCGUUCGGCUUCCUGGGGAUACAGAGCCUCGUGUUCGGGGCGCAGGACCUUGCCCAGCAGCUCGUGGCCAACGCCGUGGCCACCUUCCUGCAGCUGGCUGACCAGGGCCUGAGCGCCGCCCUGGACCGUGACCAGGCGGCCCAGCAGCUGGAGAAAGUCCGUGGGCGCGUGCUGAAGAAACUGUCCGCGGACAGCGCCACUGCGCGGAGCGAGUUCGUGCGGGGCUGGCUGCUGCGGGUGCUGUUACCAUUUGUGCUGUGGUGGCUGGAGCCCAGCGGACAAGCGGAACUGCCUGAACUCAAGGGGGACGACCUUGUCACAGGCAUCCAGGCUGUGACCACUGCAGGCGUCCUGGAGGACGUCAUUCGCGGGGUUCUGCUGCAGAGGAUCAACCGAGGAGGCCCUAGGUGCUAGUGAUAUCACCUGCACUCUGGCUGGGCACUCAGAGCUCCCUUGGGAUCCCGAGGCAGCAGAGGAGGACCGACCUGAGGUUGAUGGCUUGGAGACACCGAUGAGGAGUCGCCAGGACCCAUGUGAAUGAGUGGGAAACUGAGGCUCAGGUCUAGGAUGGCACCGGAUGCAGCCACACCACCUCCUCCUCAUCCAGGGACAUCCACAGCUGUCUGCACUGCGUCCCCUUGACUGCUAGGCUCUGAACCCAGCGACCUGGGCCUUGAUCACAUUGCUUCCAUUUGAGUUGUUGAUUAAACUGAACUUGAACUCGC